GACGAACGCUGGCGGCGUGCUUAACACAUGCAAGUCGAACGGAAAGGCCCUGCUUUUGUGGGGUGCUCGAGUGGCGAACGGGUGAGUAACACGUGAGUAACCUGCCCUUGACUUUGGGAUAACUUCAGGAAACUGGGGCUAAUACCGGAUAGGAGCUCCUGCUGCAUGGUGGGGGUUGGAAAGUUUCGGCGGUUGGGGAUGGACUCGCGGCUUAUCAGCUUGUUGGUGGGGUAGUGGCUUACCAAGGCUUUGACGGGUAGCCGGCCUGAGAGGGUGACCGGCCACAUUGGGACUGAGAUACGGCCCAGACUCCUACGGGAGGAAGCAGUGGGGAAUAUUGCACAAUGGGCGGAAUCCUGAUGCAGCAACGCCGCGUGCGGGAUGACGGCCUUCGGGUUGUAAACCGCUUUCGCCUGUGACGAAGCGUGAGUGACGGUAAUGGGUAAAGAAGCACCGGCUAACUACGUG
rnacentral:rRNA from 1 species